GCGCGAGAGAGAUGGGGUAAGAAGAGAGGUGCGAGAAAGCAGGGCCCGUGUUCAGGGACAAAAGGCGUUACUACUGCGAGUACUGCGGGAUCUGCAGGUCCAAGAAGUCCUUCAUCACUUCCCACAUCCAAUCGCACCACCAGGAUGAGGUGGAAGCGGCAAUGGCUCAAGGGGUCGAGGGGAAGGAGGGAGCGAAAGCUAAUAAUACCUGCGAAGAAUGCGGCGCCACGUUUAAGAAACCCGCGUACUUGAGGCAGCAUAUGCAGGGCCAUUCGCUCGAGGAUAAAGUAUGUUGACUCAUAUGAUUAUGAUGUGAUAAUGGCGUGAAGCAUUGGAUCCCAUCGAAAAGAACUCCAAAAUGCAAGAGGCU